rnacentral:lncRNA from 1 species
AAAUUACAGAUAAUCACACAAGGUGCAUAAAAUGAUCAACCGCCAUUGCAACGAAUCUCUAUCCAUAAGGACUAAACGUAUUUAUUUAUUUCGAGUUUUUGUAUUGUUUGAGCUUUGGAAGACAUGCGGUUCGUAGAACUAACUUUAUGUUUGAUGCGUUUACAGAAUAAUGACCCGACCUCCGGAUGAAUAUGAUGAGGAUGGGGAGCUUAUAUAUGAUCCAACCAAGGGAGAGAAAUGUCAUCAAUGCAGGUCAAAUAUUCACAUUGCUGUCUAAUGUAUGAUCUCUCCAUUAUAUGGUUUGUUAGUUUCUAUCUAUGCACGACAAAUUAUUUUGAAACGAUGAAUCUGAUAAAUGUACUGUUACAAACAAAGAAGUAAAAAUAUUCUAUUUAAC